AUGAAUAACAUGAAAGAACAGAUUGAGGCCUUUCUACAAGCACAAGCUGAUGCUAAGGAGCGAACUGCUGAGAUGAUGGAAUUGCAGAGUCGAUUGUCUGCUCAGAAGGUAGAAGCUAAUCGACUUGCAUAUGAGGCAGCAAAGGAGAGGACAGUGGCCAAGUUAGCAGAGGAAAGAACAAAGUUGUUUGACAAGUUCACAGAUAUGUUGAAUGCUGACACAACAAGAAUGGAGCCAUGGGCAAAGGAGAUGCAUAUGAAGGCUGUUACAAGAUUGGGGGAUCAACUUUUCAGGGAGGAAUAG
rnacentral:rRNA from 1 species